ACAAGAGGGCCAAUCAAACCAAAUGUAAAGAAAACUAAAGAACGAAAAGAUAAAUUUAAACCGGAAAAAAUCCGAUUAGAAGCUAGACGAGACACAAUAGAAGGACGAUGAAACUCUAGAUAUAAGCCAGUCAACCGCCUUUGUAAAAGCCGACAGAUGCCAGACGCUAGCCGACCACCACCGUAAAGAGAAACGGACGGUGUCAAAACUAAAGCUGGCCAAACAUUGCCAUAAAAACGAAAGUUAUCGGAUAAAAAGCCAAAAAGUCAAAAGCCAAAAGAUUCUAAACGGAUAGUUGGACAACGGAACUACCGUUGCCAGAGAAAAAACUCUAAUGACUUCCUUUCUAAAAAAAUAUAGGAGAGGGAAGUCCACCCGAU